rnacentral:rRNA from 1 species
CCAGACUCCUACGGGAGGCAGCAGUGAGGAAUAUUGGUCAAUGGGCGUAAGCCUGAACCAGCCAAGUAGCGUGCAGGAAGACGGCCCUAUGGGUUGUAAACUGCUUUUGUAUGGGGAUAAAGUCAGUCACGUGUGAUUGUUUGCAGGUACCAUACGAAUAAGGACCGGCUAAUUCCGUGCCAGCAGCCGCGGUAAUACGGAAGGUCCGGGCGUUAUCCGGAUUUAUUGGGUUUAAAGGGAGCGUAGGCUGGAGAUUAAGUGUGUUGUGAAAUGUAGACGCUCAACGUCUGACUUGCAGCGCAUACUGGUUUCCUUGAGUACGCACAACGUUGGCGGAAUUCGUCGUGUAGCGGUGAAAUGCUUAGAUAUGACGAAGAACUCCGAUUGCGAAGGCAGCUGACGGGAGCGCAACUGACGCUGAAGCUCGAAGGUGCGGGUAUCGAACAGGAUUAGAUACCCUGGUAGUCCGCACAGUAAACGAUGGAUGCCCGCUGUUGGUACCUGGUAUCAGCGGCUAAGCGAAAGCAUUAAGCAUCCCACCUGGGGAGUACGCCGGCAACGGUGAAACUCAAAGGAAUUGACGGGGGCCCGCACAAG